rnacentral:rRNA from 1 species
UAUCUGGGAAACUGCCUGAUGGAGGGGGAUAAUUAAAUGGAAAAGGUAGCUAAUACCGCAUAACGUCUUCGGACCAAAGUGGGGGACCUUCGGGCCUCAUGCCAUCAGAUGUGCCCAGAUGGGAUUAGCUAGUAGGUGGGGUAACGGCUCACCUAGGCGACGAUCCCUAGCUGGUCUGAGAGGAUGACCAGCCACACUGGAACUGAGACACGGUCCAGACUCCUACGGGAGGCAGCAGUGGGGAAUAUUGCACAAUGGGCGCAAGCCUGAUGCAGCCAUGCCGCGUGUAUGAAGAAGGCCUUCGGGUUGUAAAGUACUUUCAGCGAGGAGGAAGGCAUUAAGGUUAAUAACCUUAGUGAUUGACGUUACUCGCAAAAGAAGCACCGGCUAACUCCGUGCCAGCAGCCGCGGUAAUACGGAGGGUGCAAGCGUUAAUCGGAAUUACUGGGCGUAAAGCGCACGCAGGCGGUCUGUCAAGUCGGAUGUGAAAUCCCCGGG